rnacentral:rRNA from 1 species
UACGGGGGGGGCAAGCGUUGUUCGGAAUUACUGGGCGUAAAGGGCUUGUAGGUGGCCAACUAAGUCAGACGUGAAAUCCCUCGGCUUAACCGGGGAACUGCGUCUGAUACUGGAUGGCUAGAGUUUGGGAGAGGGAUGCGGAAUUCCAGGUGUAGCGGUGAAAUGCGUAGAUAUCUGGAGGAACACCGGUGGCGAAGGCGGCAUCCUGGACCAAUACUGACACUGAAAAGCGAAAGCCAGGGGAGCAGACGGG